rnacentral:rRNA from 1 species
AACGCUGGCGGCGUGCUACACAUGCAAGUCGAGCGGUAACAGGUGUAGCAAUACAUGCUGACGAGCGGCGAACGGGUGAGUAAUGCUUCGGAAUCUGCCCAAUGGUGGGGAAUAACCAGCCGAAAGGUUGGCUAAUACCGCAUAAGUCCUACGGGGGAAAGCAGGGGAUCGCAAGACCUUGCGCCGAUGGAUGAGCCGAAGUCGGAUUAGCUAGUUGGUAGGGUAACGGCCUACCAAGGCGACGAUCCGUAGCUGGUCUGAGAGGACGACCAGCCACACUGGGACUGAGACACGGCCCAGACUCCUACGGGAGGCAGCAGUGGGGAAUAUUGGACAAUGGGGGAAACCCUGAUCCAGCGACGCCGCGUGUGUGAAGAAGGCCUGCGGGUUGUAAAGCACUUUUAGUGGGGAUGAAAAGCUCAGGGCUAACACCUCUGGGUCUUGACCUAACCCACAGAAAAAGCACCGGCUAACUCUGUGCCAGCAGCCGCGGUAAUACAGAGGGUGCGAGCGUUAAUCGGAAUUACUGGGCGUAAAGCGUGCGUAGACGGUUAUGUAAGUCGGGUGUGAAAGCCCCGGGCUCA